rnacentral:lncRNA from 1 species
ACUUGUCAACAUGGAACAGUUCCUUUAUCAGGGAAGCAUUGGAGUUCCUGCUGAGGAAAGACGUUGAUUUACAGCUAAGUGUUGUGAAGCUCCUUGUCAGCAAAGUGAACGGGAAAGAGCUGGAGGAAGCAUUGGAAGAAUUUAAUGACAAGGUUGUUAACUCCUCACGGAUCCCAUCGGAAUGGAAAGGCUUUGCACUGGAGGCAUUAUGGGAUGGGAAGCUGAGAAACGAGGAGCUUUAUAAUGAGACAGAGUUUGUGGGGCCAUGGUUCCAGAAGAGGUUAAGGCCCUUUUUAGCUGCAGUCUCUAUCGACAUACUCCAGUGCCUUCGGAAUGAGACCUUGGGAUGCGCGCAGUAUCAGGCAAUAGUUAAAGGCCUGGAUCUGGAAUUUAAAAAGAUGAACCACAGUACCCAAGAGGAAGUCUACAGUGCUUUCCAGCUUCCUUACCUGAAAGGGUUAAACGUUGCAGGGUCAGCUUGUGUUGAUGGCCUUAACACCAGCACGGCUUGGCUAACGGCCAACUUUAGAAACUUCAGCAGACACGCUGCAUAUCACGACUUGCUCUCUCUGAACUCCAGAUUUAAUGGGUUCGAUGUGCUCAGUAGUCUGACAGUGAAGCAGCGUGCACAGUUAUCAGCCACCCAGGGGACCUUGCAGACCCCCGAAGAUGUUCAGAGACUGAUGAGUUUUGUGACCACCUCUACAGUAACCGAGUACAUCGAUGAAUUGAACAGACAGGCCAACCUGAGUCUGAAGGGGGACAUCAGAGCCACGCUGCUACAGCACAUCCUAGCUGCAGCCCAGCCAAUAUUUCAGAAGGCAGAUGAUGCUGAAUUCGUGCACUGGAUGGAUCCUCGCCUUGCAGGCUUGAUCUCAGGACUGAACAGCACCCAUGUCCCACUCGUUUUCAACGGUCUAGAAUCUAGAAACUGCUCUGCCAUCAAUGCUGUAGUAACUGUGCUUAAUAGCUCCAUCACCGACUUCAGCAACACCACGCGACAGAGCAUUUACCGCGGGAUACUGAACGUGACAGCCGGUAAGGAGCAUUGUUCAUGGAAAGGUUUCACUAAACGAUUCAGCUGCUUUGACAUCGUAACUGGUUCAUUCCACUCCGCUGAGCCCCACUCCCAGGCAUUAUUUUUAAGCCAUUGUCCUUUUCCCUCUGGUUAUUUCAGGUUCCUCCCUACGGUGCUACAUCACAAACACUAG